GUGAAAUAGAACCUGAAACCGUGUGCUUACAAGUAGUCAGAGCCCGUUAAUGGGUGAUGGCGUGCCUUUUGUAGAAUGAACCGGCGAGUUACGAUUUGAUGCAAGGUUAAGCAGUAAAUGUGGAGCCGUAGCGAAAGCGAGUCUGAAUAGGGCGUUUAGUAUUUGGUCGUAGACCCGAAACCAGGUGAUCUACCCUUGGUCAGGUUGAAGUUCAGGUAACACUGAAUGGAGGACCGAACCGACUUACGUUGAAAAGUGAGCGGAUGAACUGAGGGUAGCGGAGAAAUUCCAAUCGAACCUGGAGAUAGCUGGUUCUCUCCGAAAUAGCUUUAGGGCUAGCCUCAAGUGAUGAUUAUUGGAGGUAGAGCACUGUUUGGACGAGGGGCCCCUCUCGGGUUACCGAAUUCAGACAAACUCCGAAUGCCAAUUAAUUUAACUUGGGAGUCAGAACAUGGGUGAUAAGGUCCGUGUUCGAAAGGGAAACAGCCCAGACCACCAGCUAAGGUCCCAAAAUAUAUGUUAAGUGGAAAAGGAUGUGGCGUUGCCCAGACAACUAGGAUGUUGGCUUAGAAGCAGCCAUCAUUUAAAGAGUGCGUAAUAGCUCACUAGUCGAGUGACACUGCGCCGAAAAUGUACCGGGGCUAAACAUAUUACCGAAGCUGUGGAUUGUCCUUUGGACAAUGGUAGGAGAGCGUUCUAAGGGCGUUGAAGCAUGAUCGUAAGGACAUGUGGAGCGCUUAGAAGUGAGAAUGCCGGUGUGAGUAGCGAAAGACGGGUGAGAAUCCCGUCCACCGAUUGACUAAGGUUUCCAGAGGAAGGCUCGUCCGCUCUGGGUUAGUCGGGUCCUAAGCUGAGGCCGACAGGCGUAGGCGAUGGAUAACAGGUUGAUAUUCCUGUACCACCUAUAAUCGUUUUAAUCGAUGGGGGGACGCAGUAGGAUAGGCGAAGCGUGCGAUUGGAUUGCACGUCUAAGCAGUAAGGCUGAGUAUUAGGCAAAUCCGGUACUCGUUAAGGCUGAGCUGUGAUGGGGAGAAGACAUUGUGUCUUCGAGUCGUUGAUUUCACACUGCCGAGAAAAGCCUCUAGAUAGAAAAUAGGUGCCCGUACCGCAAACCGACACAGGUAGUCAAGAUGAGAAUUCUAAGGUGAGCGAGCGAACUCUCGUUAAGGAACUCGGCAAAAUGACCCCGUAACUUCGGGAGAAGGGGUGCUCUUUAGGGUUAACGCCCAGAAGAGCCGCAGUGAAUAGGCCCAAGCGACUGUUUAUCAAAAACACAGGUCUCUGCUAAACCGUAAGGUGAUGUAUAGGGGCUGACGCCUGCCCGGUGCUGGAAGGUUAAGAGGAGUGGUUAGCUUCUGCGAAGCUACGAAUCGAAGCCCCAGUAAACGGCGGCCGUAACUAUAACGGUCCUAAGGUAGCGAAAUUCCUUGUCGGGUAAGUUCCGACCCGCACGAAAGGCGUAACGAUUUGGGCACUGUCUCAACGAGAGACUCGGUGAAAUCAUAGUACCUGUGAAGAUGCAGGUUACCCGCGACAGGACGGAAAGACCCCGUGGAGCUUUACUGUAGCCUGAUAUUGAAAUUCGGCACAGCUUGUACAGGAUAGGUAGGAGCCUUUGAAACGUGAGCGCUAGCUUACGUGGAGGCGCUGGUGGG
rnacentral:rRNA from 1 species